GACGGGGGAUGCAAGUGUUAUCCGGAAUCACUGGGCGUAAAGCGUCUGCAGGUGGUUUCCUAAGUCCACUGUUAAACCUUGAGGCUCAACCUCAAAUCUGCAUUGGAAACUAGGAGACUUGAGUAUAGUAGGGGUAGAGGGAAUUUCCAGUGGAGCGGUGAAAUGCGUAGAUAUUGGAAAGAACACCGAUGGCGAAGGCACUCUACUGGGCUAUUACUGACACUCAGAGACGAAAGCUAGGGGAGCAAAUGG
rnacentral:rRNA from 1 species